rnacentral:other from 1 species
AUUCGAAAACAAGAUCCACUAAAACAAGGAUUGAAAC